UAAAACCACCUAAAGGAACCUCACCAACCAAGGACCAUCCAUACCCUAACAAAACAUAGAUUACUACAUGAAUGGACUUAUGCAACUUCCUUUUUCAAGCCUAACCAAAGCAAAAAGGAGUUAACUUAACCCAUCAGGCUCGACUCCUUAUAUCUAUCCCCGAAACACCACUCCGCUUCCAUCACCAUUAUAAUAUGGGAACUAUGAAUAAAGGACAUGGACAAACCAUAUACAACAAUUAUAACUAAAACCUCCAUCCCAUUACACCAACGAACACAAUUCUUUGCUCUAAUAGGUAUCACCAAAGACGUACACCAGUGAUGCUUUGUUCUCCCAUACCUAAAGGCUCAUUCACCCCAAUGAAACCUAGAGCUCAGCACAGACAUGUAAAAAACAUAAAACCAGAUUGACUCCAAGGUUUCCAAUCAAACCAAAAUCAUUGAAAUCAAACCAUAGUCACCAGGGACUUUCAAAAAUCAUUUGAAUCUCACCCAAAUCAAUUCAUGUUCCUUUAAUUAUUUAUGCAAUGCAAAGACUUAAGAAUAGUUAAACAUAUGACAAAAGUAUAUCCAAUGGAAAUUUCACAAUUAGUUUUGAGGGCAUAAAAUUUCAAAGAAUAGAACCAAGUAAUUGAGGAAUCCAUAGUACCCCGAACUCUAUUUACCAUUCUCAUGAAUCACAUAAUGUUCAUAAACAUUUAUAAAACAUGAAUAAUGUAUCAUAAUCCAUAGAAAAAUCAAUUCAAAUGAGUAAUCAUGUUAAAGCCUCCAUUGCUCCAAAACCCAUUUUCAAAAUCAUGAAUUUAAUAAUCAAUUUCAUGUCAAUAAUAAGGUAUAAGUAAAGGGACAAGGAUACAUGUAAGCUCCAUGACAUAACUUGUUGAAUGACUAGAUCUCCAGUCUCUCCAUUCAACCUAAACUUCUGACCUAUAUGGUAUAACUCUCCCACUAUUAUAUUUCCCAAAUCAUCAACCUCAUCCAACCUACUAGUUUACCUCCACAACUCCCAUACUGCUAGUUCUGAGCUUAUAAUACUCUCUUUUAUCAAAAUCAAGCAUCUUAAUUCAAGACUUGGAUCUACCAGCCACCAUGUACUACUAGCAAAGUACCCUUAAAUAAUAUACAUAAGCAUGGUCUACCCCACAAGGAGUACACUCCAAAUUCCUUAGUCACCCACCCACUGACAACCUCUUCUUUCUAGGGAAUACCAUUCCAUUUAUGCAUAUAAAAACAAAACACUCCAUAAAGGAAUAUUAAGACUGACGAGACCUUUAUCUAAGAGGUCUCUUAAUUUCUCUUUAAGAUCCUUUAACCCAACUAAAACCAUUUUACAAAAAAAGAAUAGAAAUUGGACAAAUGUCCAAAACAAGACCAAUCCCAAACUAACCUACCCAUUAAAAAGAUAGCAUAAGGUUCGUCAAGAAGGCUUCAAGAGAUUCAUUCUCCACCAAAAUCAAACGCACGGAAAGACCUUUCGAGUUAGAAGCUUUAACAUAGACCAAGUAAUAAAGACACCCCUUUUUGGAGACCAAUCUCUGAGUUCUAGGACAUAAUGUAACUUUUCCCUUAAUAAUUAGGGAAUGAAGACAUCCUCUCAUUCCAUGACCGACUUACCAUGGAGCCUAAUAAGUACGAUAAUCUAAUAGUGAAAAACAAGAGUAAAAUCAAAUCCAUCCCUCAAAUGACAUAGGAAUCCACCAAAUCUGAGUCCACCAAGACCUCUUUAUUACCAACAGAUACCACACACCCCCAAAGACUCUUUUGAUAAUCACAGAGUCACUUACCAGGGUAGAAUCAGAAGAAGGAAAGAGUUCAAAACAACCUUGGGACCAAAACCAAACUAUACAACCACCAAUGGGGUCACACAAGAGAUAGGACCCUAAACCAAAUAAACCACACACACCACAAUAAAAUAGGUUAUCAGCAUACCAGUGUCGGAGAUAGAAGUAGCACCCAUGGCACAAGAGCUAGAGAAGUAGAAACCAAUAUCCUAUUUACCCAAGAGGAAAUCCUUAUGGGACACUCUCAUUUAACCAGGAAACCAUGACUCCUUACCUUGCCUAUUUCAAACCUCACCUUAUUCCUCCCUAUACCAAUAGGAAAGGAUUGACGUAACAGAUUUAUUACUAUUUGGGGUCAAUAGACUAAUAGAAUAUCAAAACUCAACAUUGGUAACCUUCCCUUUAGGUAAUCGAGAAUGAAUGUCACCUUCUGAAAUAGGGUUAGUGGAGACCAGUGGAACUCCACAGAGAAAACCAGAAAUUAUGACCCUUGACCAGGUCUGUGCCUCAUGAGUUGGUCUAGAUCUAUCCAUGUUGUCCUCUAGUAGGACAGGUAAGUUUCCAUAAACUUUAUAUCAUUAAUAAGACAUAAUUCAAAGAGUGAACCAAAGAAGAUUUAGAGAAGAGUUCAAGACCUCAGACUCUAAAACUUGAAAGGAGAAUAACCGAGAAAGUGAAACAUUCCUAAAUGCCUUGUAGUCUUCUGAUUAUAAAUGUGGUACAGGCAAACCCAUAAACAAGACUCUACUUGGCAUGACUUUGUGGACACCCUUAGACACCAAAAUCUAAAGCUCUUAUACCAACUUGACAUGACUCAAACCAGGGCCUUAUCAUAAUAGGCAAUCCCAAGCCUAACCAGGAUCGUGAAACACCCCCAUUACCCAACCCAACCACCACAAGCAUACCUUGAGUUGGCUGAAGUCCAAACAUAUAACAAGAUAGCAUAUCCAAUCGUGUGGUGACUUUUGGACAAGUCUAUAAUUGAGAUCAAACCAAUUAAGUCCAACCACCCAAUAACCAACCAAAAGGAACCUAUAUGACAAACAACAAUAACAUACCCAUUGAAAUCUAAUAAGCAGGAUACCCAGACCUUAACUCUACCCUUAUUGGGUAAGGAAGUUGUGAAUUAGCUCUUUCUACUUUUACUAUAUGUUUUCUAUUUGUAUUUUCUUCAAUAACAGACUCUAUAUUGUGAAUGUAUUCACUUGAAAUGUAACAAAUUUACAAAAAAUAUAAAAUUUUUAGCUAGAGCUUACAAAAUUAGUAACACUAAUAAAUCCAUCAAAAAACAAAACCCCUUAACCAAAAUUAGUACUACUAAUAACUCCAUACAAAAACAAAAACCCUCAACCAAGCUUAUGAACUCAUAAGAUUAUAACUAACUAAAAUAUAAUAAUAACAACAUAUCUUGUGUAACAACAAGUAAGGUUUGAGAAGGAUAGGGUAUAUGGAGAUAUUACCCUACCUCGUUGAGAUAGAGAUGCUAUUUUUGUAGAAACUUACCUUAAAAUAUGACUAAAUAAAGUGUGACUUCAUUCUUGUGUAUCAUUGAAAGAAACUUGUAGAUGUAGUGGGUGGGAUUAAAGAUAUAGGAUAAAUAUUAUCGCAACCAAUUAAAUUAAAGAUACAUAUAAUAUGUCAUUAAUCUUCAACUACUUUUUGAUUCUCUGUGAAUAUUGUCAGUAAGGUAUUAUUUUAACAAUGUUAGAAGUUGUUGAAAUAUAGCUAGUUAAGAUAGUUAGUUAUAUUUUACUGUUGCAUUAAGUCGACUACUAUUACAUUGUAAUGUAGUUAUUUUUAAAGUGAGUUAUGUGGAAAGUGAGUGAAUUAGUUAGAUUGUUGGAAUCUUCUAGAUGAUUCUAGAAUGAGUUGUCAUAGUCUAUAAAUAUCCAGCUGGUUACUUAUUGUACCCGACUUCUUCCUUGUUCUCUACAUAGUUUCUUCUUCUUCAAUAUAGUUAUUUCUUCUCUAUUUCAUCUAUUUUUUCAUUAGUUUUUCCUAAGUAAAUCUAACAUGGUAUCAGAGCCAUUAACUCAGAGGUUUAGAGAAGGAAAUUGAUAGAGUUUAGACUUCUAUUGUGGUGGAAUUUUUUAAUCUCUUUUUUAGAUAAAAUUUGUGCAGUUAUAGUAGAAGUACAAAUACCUAUCUCAAUUUUUUAGCUGUUUUAUGAGUUAUCAUUAGAGAAUUCAACUUCUUUCUAGAGAAAUUUAAUCUCUACUCUCAAAUAUUUUUAAAAAAUAAAAAAUGGCACCUAAGAUUCAUCCAAGUGAUCCUUUGUUCAUAAGAACAUCAAAUGUGUCUAGAGCUACUUUAAUUCUAAUUAGGCUUAUUGGAUUAGAGGAUUAAAAAGUAUGGAGUCGAUUGAUGAGGAUUGCAUUUAUAGGGAAAGUGAAAUUUGGAUAUAUAAUCGGUACUUAUAGUAGAGAUGUAUAAGAGAAGAAUUGCAUGAGCAUUAGAAAACCUGUAAUGAGAUAGUGUUAACGUGGCUAAUGAGUUUUGUUUUUGUAGAAUUGUCAAUUCGUAUUGUAUAUGUAUCAAAUGCAUUUGAAGUAUGGGAAGAUUGUAGAGAAAGGUUUGAUAAGGUAAAUAGUAUGAGACUUUAUCAGUUAAAUAGGAAAAUUAAUCAUUGUCAUAAGGAACUGAUUUAGUAAAAACUUAUUUCAUGAAAUUGAAGAGUCUAUGGAGUGAGUAUGAUGUAGUAGUCCCUACAACAUCGUGUUCUUGUCCAAGGUCCAAAGACUAUGUAGAUCACUUAUAUGAUUUUUAAGUGGUUUAUAUGAUUCAUAUGAUUAGGUUAGAAAACAAAUAUAAUUAAAAUGAGUUUCACCUACACUUAAUCAAUCCUAUGUUAUGAUUGUAGAAGCUAAAAUCCAAUAGUUGGCUUGUGCAACUAUCAUAAGUUAAAAGACAAACCCAAUUACAGUGCAUGUGAGUAGAAACUCAGAAAAUAGUUAUGAAUCUCAAAACUACAAAGGGAAGAAAUAUGAUUAUUGUCACUUCAUUGGACAUACCAAAGAGACUUGCUAUAAAUUGAUAGGUUAUACUAAUGAUUGGAAGUAGAGAAGAUAAAGAGGUUACAAUGGUACCUCAAGAGGAUCACACCAAUAUUUUGGUUUUGGAGGAUACAACAAUUAGACAUAUGGAAAGUCAAGUGGAUAUGGUAAUCAUGGACAAUAGUAUGGAGGCCACACAAAUACUCCACAUUCAAUAAACAACAUUAUUGGUAGUAUUUUCAAUAGAGUUGAAGNNNNNNNNNNNNNNNNNNNNNNNNNNNNNNNNNNNNNNNNNNNNNNNNNNNNNNNNNNNNNNNNNNNNNNNNNNNNNNNNNNNNNNNNNNAAAGUUGUUUGAACCAACCAUAAAGAAAACAAGUAGAUUCACAAUGCUAUUUUGUCCAUGGAACAAGAUUCUACAGAUGGAGAAUAUAACCAAAUCAUGGAGAUGUUAAACAAGGAUAAACAAUAAGUGAAGCAAGUAAACACACCAACUAAAGUUAUUUUCUCAAUAUUUCAUCACAUGGCUCAAGAAUGGAUAGUAGAUUCUAUUGCAAUACAUUAAGUAGCAGCAAAUAAAGAUGCUUUAUCAAGAUGUUGUAAAGUAGGUAACUCAAAAUAUGAUAAGGUGAAUCUUCCUACUGGUGCUAACGUUGGAAUAACACAUACUCGAGAAACAUAUGUUUUUAAAUAUGGAGUUAUGUAGGAUGUAUUGUUCCUGAUUUUAAGCUUAAGUUAUUGCUAGUGUCAAAGAUGACUAGAGAACUUUUAUGAUUUUUCUUUAUCUACUCUGAUCUCUAUAUUUUAGGACCUUCAGAGUGGCAUGGUGAAUGGAAUUAUUAAGGAAAUACAUGGAUUGUACAUUUUUAAAGGGAAUUAUGAAGUGCCUAAAGCACAACAAAGUUUGUCUCAUAAUAAAUUUAUAGCAGAAGUAGAUAUGCAGGACUGUAGUUUCUAGUAUAAAAGGUUGUAUUAUCCUUUAUCUCAAGACUUGAAGUUGUUAAAUAUCUCAAAGAAUAGUAAGGAUGUAGAAGGUCCACAUAAUUUCAAUGUUACCUAUUAGCUAAGCAGACUAUAUCAGUUUUCCUAUAAGUAAUACUAAAGCUGAUAAAUGUUUUGAUGUUAUACAUAUUGACCUUUGGGUACCCUAUAAAACCCCAACUUUUGAUAAGAAAUACUAUUUCUUAAAAAUUGUUUAUGAUAUAGUAGAUAUACUUGGCUUCAUCUAUUACAACUAAUAUCUGAAACUACUAUAGCUCUUAAAUCCUUUGUGUGUAUAAUUCAGACUCAGUUUGGUGGCCAUAUUAAAGCUAUAAGAUUUGAUAAUGGGACAGAUUUCCUUAACUCUCAAUGUAGUGAUUUGGUUAGAUCCUUAGUUAGACACCUUAACAAAUUAGUGUAGUUGAGAGGAAACACAAAUAAAUUUUGAAUAUAGCUAGACCCAUCAAGUUUCAAUCACAAAUGCCUAUCAAGUUUUUGGGGUUUAAAUGUUAAAACUGUUGUUUUCUUAUGAAUAGAUUACAAUCUUCAGCUAUUAAGGGUAAAAUUCCUUGUGAAGUAUUGUUCUCAAAACCUCCAUCUUUGUCACAUUUUAGAGUUAUUGGUUGUUUGUGCUAUGCUUCUAUGCUAUUAAAGGGUGAUAAGAUUUCAAAAAAGGCCAAACCUAUUUUUCUAAUAGGUUAUUCCACUACUCGAAAAAGAUAUUUUUUGUUGGAUCUAACCAUUAACAAGUUGUUUGUGACUAUGGAUAUUGUGUUCUAGGAACAUGUGUUUUCUUUUGAAGAUAAAGCUACUAAUGAGUCUAUUAAAGAUUUUCUCAAAUAACAAACAGAUGUAGUUGAUCAUACAAAUGCAAGUUGUUAUGCAAAUAUUAGUCUCUCAAGUUUUGAUUCACUAGAUAUAGUUCCUGAAGUACCUGAUACAGAUAUGCUACACUCAGACAACUCAGUUUAUGAGUCAACUGAGAUAGAUCAUGAUCAACCAUAUGAUACACCACCACCAUUUAUAUCUUAUCUCCUAAUAAGAGCACCUAGGAUGUCCAAACAACCUGCCUAGAUAAAGGAUUAUGCAAUACAAGGAAAAGGAAAAUGGAAAAGAUAUAUAUUGGCUAACUACCUAUCUUAUUAGUAGGUCACUUCUAGCUAUUAAUAUUACUUAUCCAGCUUCUCUACAUUUGUGAAACCUCAGUGUUUUAGCCAGGCUGCUAAAGAUAAAAGAGGGGUUGAGGCUAGAAUUUUAAAAUCAAAGCACUUGAGGACAAUAAUACUUGGGAAGUUUUUGAUCUACCCCAAGAAAAAUUUUUCAUUGGAUAAAAAUGGGUGUACAACAUUAUGUAUAAAUCUAAUGGAGAUAUUGAGAGGUUCAAGGCAAGGUUGGUAGACAAAGGAUAUAGUUAGUAAGAAGGGUUAGACUACCGUGAUACAUUUCUUCUAUUGCAAAGAUAGUUAUAAUGAGAUGUGUCAUUAGCCUUAUAGUUUCAAUAAGAUAGUGUAUGUAUCAAAUGAACGUAUAUAAUGCAUUUUUUCAAGAAGAUUUGGAGGAAAAGGUGUAUAUAGAGAUGCCAGUUGAUUUCAAGGUAUUGAAAUAUCAAGGUUACUUUAGCACUAAUCAAUGAAUGUUUUAGUCAAAACAUUUAUGAUUACUCUCUUUUCACCUUGAAAAAAAAAAGAAUGGUUGUAGUAUUGGUAUAUAUGGAUGACUGUGUUAUCACUAGAGAUAGUGCAACCAUGAUAUGUGAAAUCAAAGAAACAUUACAUCAAUAGUUUAAGAUCAAGGAUUUAGGGGAAAUUAAAUAUUUUCUUAGGAUUAAAGUGUUAAGAUUAUAAAGAGGGGUCAUAUUGAACCAAAAAAAGUACAUACUAGAGCUCAUAUUUAAGAUAGGACUCACUGGUGCAAUUCUAACUCUUACACUGCUAAAUUUAAAUGCUAAGCUAACUUUAGUAAAAUUAGAUAAUGCCACUAGUGUAGCUGGAGACAUCAUCCUUCACGAUGCUAAAUAUUAUCAAAGGCCUGUUGGUAAGCUUAUGUAUGCUACUAUUACCAGGACUCACAUCAAAUUUAUUGUGCAGACCUUAAGCCAAUUUAUGCAUCAACCAAAGAAACUCUUCUAAAACACUCAAUAAUUCUCUCAAAAGCUUCUGGGGAAGGAAAGCAAAGGUUUAAACUAGAGGAUUAAUGUAGGGCUUGUAUUGGUGAUUCCUUUCCAUCAUCAUAUUGUUUUAAGGCAUGUGCUAUUCUCUCAUUGUUAAUUCUAACUAAAGUCAUGGUUCUUAUAAAUGUUUUCAUGAUUUCAUUGAUUGUAUGAUUUUGGUAUUCAAAUAUGAUUUGGGGGUUUUAAAAGUAAAUGGUUGGUUAUGGUUUUCCAUUGUUUUAAUUAUGCUUUAAUAUGCAUUAAUGGUGGUUUUGUAUAUUUGGAUUGCAUGAGAAUGGUUAAAUGGUAUUUGUAAUUGGUGUUGGUUAUAUUAUGCCCCCAAUGUAUUUUGCAUUGAGUACUUUUAAUGGAUCUCUUGCUUGUUUUAAAACUUAGUAAAGGGAUUAUGCAUAGUUUAAAUGGAUUGAAAAGGUAAAUGGAAAAAUAGUUAUGCUUUUGGGUUACAUGGAAUCCCCCAAGUGGUUUAAUAUGGUAAAUAGAAGGGCACUUGAAAGUCCCCUUAAACAUACAUAUAGUUGGCUAUGGAUAGUACUUGCAAGUAUGGUUAGUAUGACAAUACCACCACUAAAUGGGCUUGGUUAAUAAAUGGUAAAUAGAAUGGUUGGUUUGUUGGUAAUGGUUUUAAUUGGGCAAUAAUGGCGGAAUUUGUAGGAAAGACGUGGAAGGUGGAGAUUUCAGGGGGACCAAAACUGGAAACUCAUAUUUACUGAUGUGAGGUUGGUCUUGGUUACAGUAUGAUUGAUGUUACACUUUAUAUUUAGGGGAUAUACCAGUCAUCCCAUAUUUUUUCCCUUUUCGUACGGCUACAAACAUUGGGACCCUUUCAGCAAGCGAGGUACUAAUGUGGAAUUUUGUCAGUCUAUUCAUAUUAUUGCUCAGAUGGUUGCUGCUUAGGCUGAGUGGGGUGAGAAUGGUGGUUUACCUGCUGAGGCCACAAGGUUAGACCAAUUUAUGAAGAUGGGUCCUCCCACUUUUUCUAGAAUAAAGGUGGAGAAGGAUCUACAAGGCUUCUUAGAUGAAAUGGAAAAGAUAUUUUGGGUGAUGUAGGCUACCAAUAUGGAGGAGGUAAACUUUGCAGCUUAUUAGCUCAAAGAUAUUGCUUAUCAGUGGUAUGAAGAGUGGGACAGGAAAAGAGAUGAUAUGGAAGAAGCAGUCUUGUAGGAUUCUUUUUCUAAGGCCUUCUUAGAUUAUUUAUUUCCCCAAGAGUUAAGGAAAGAAAAAAUAGAGGACUUUGUGAACCUUAAGUAGGAGAGGAUGUCUAUCAAGGAAUAAGCCUUGAAGUUUCACCAAUUAUCAAGGUAUACUCCUUAUUUAGUGGCUGGUAUAUGGGUAAGAAUAAGAAAGUUUGCUUCUAGGUUGAAUCAAGAUUUGAUUCUAGAGAGCAAAACUGCCUUGCGAAUUAAAGAUAUGGAUAUCUCUAGGUUGACUAUUCAUAUGCAGCAGGUAGAGAAUAAAAAGAGAAAAUAAGUAGAGUUUGGAGAUCGACAGGGUAAUAGAAGCAGGUUUUCUAUCCAGGGAGGUGCUCAGUCUCAGGGUGGUCAGGAUGGUGGCAAAUGGCAGAAAAAGAAGUUGAUUAGUUCUAGUUCCUUCUCUUCUGCUAGUGCCCCUUACAGGCGGGCGACAUACAUCAUCAAGGAGGUGAUAAUUUUCGAGCAUGGGGUGCCCAAUUCAGGCAAGCAGAGGUCAGUUAGUUUCUUUAUUCCCUCCUUGUCAGUUCUGCGAUCAUCCUUAUCAAGGUUACUGCAGUGAAGGAAGAGAAAAAUACUUCAAAUGUGGACAGGCAGGCCAUCGACAUAGGGAUUGUUCGAUUAAUAAAGUUUCUGCAGGGGAGAAUAAGAUUCUUGUGGCUUCAUCUUCUACUCCUACACUUGGUGGUGUUGCAUGUACUUCUAUUACUGCUCCUGGUUCUAGUAUUGGUCGGAACAGGUGUUAUGCUUUAGCGUCCAAACAAAAAUUUGAGGCAUCACCUGAUGUUGUUACUAGGAUAUUACAACUUUUCUCUUGUGAUAUAUAUUAUUUGCUUGAUCUGGGGUCCACUUUCUCCUAUGUGACUUCUUAUAUGGUUGUAUCUUUUGAUUUCAAUCUGAAAGUUAUUUCAAAUUUUUUUUCUAUUUCUACCCUGGUAGAUGACUUGAUUAUUGCUAAGAGAGUCUAUAGGGGGUGUGGUAUCUGUUAUUGUCAAACAGACCUUAGUGGAUCUAUUUGAAUUGUGUAUGGUGGAUUUUGAUGUCAUUAUGGUAUGGAUUGAUUACACUCUUGUUAUGCGUCCUAGGAUAGUUGGACAUAGAAGGUUUUCUUUAGGUUCCCUGAUGAGUCAAUUAUAGAAUAGGAGGGUGGUUGCCUAGAUCCUAGGGGGAGAUUUAUUUCUUAUCUUAGAGCUUAGAGGUUAAUCACCAAAGUUUGUCUUUAUCACAUGGUUCGAGUUAAAAAUUCUAACUCAUAAUGUCUUUUCCAGUCAGUUUCAGUGGUUAAUGAUUUUCCAGAGGUCUUUUUGGAUGAUCUUCCUGGUGUUCUUUUAGAUAGAGAAAUUGAUUUUGGUAUUAAUCUAGUUCCGUACACUCGUCUGAUUUCUAUUUUCUUAUAAAGAAUGGCUUCGGCUGAGUUAAGAAAACUCAAGGAGUAACUUAAGGAUCUUUUGGAUAAGGAGUUUAUUCAUCGUAGUGUAUCUUCGUGGGGUGCACUAGUGUUGUUUGUGUGAAAGAAGAAUUGUUCCUUUUGGAUGUGCGUUGACUAUAAGCAGUUAAAUAAGGUGAUGGUGAAAAAUAAGUAUCUUCAUCCAAGGAUAGAUGAUCUAUUUGACCAGUUGCAAGGUGCCAAGUUCUUUUCUAAGAUUGAUCUUUGGUCUGCGUACCAUCAACUAAAAAUGAAGGAGGUGGAUAUCCUUAAGAUGGCUUUUUAUACUCGGCAUAUGCACUUUGAGAUUUUGGUAAUGUUAUUUGGAUUCACAAUGCUUCGACGGAAUUUAUGGAUCUGGUGAACAGCGUUUGUCGUCAAUAUUUAGAUCUCUUUGUUAUGUGUUUAUUGAUGACAUUCUAGUUUAUUUUAAGAAUGAGGUGGAUCAUGCUAAUCACCUCUGUGGGGUGUUACAGACCUUAAAGGAACAACAGUUGUAUGCCAAGUUCUCUAAAUGUGAUUUUUGGUUAAACGUUGUAACGUUCUUGGGUCAUAUUAUUUCUAGUGAGGCUAUUAUGACGGAUAUGCCUAAGGUUGUUGUGGUGAAGAGGUGGCCUAGACCCACGACUCCAUCCAAAAUUCGAAGCUUCUUAGGUUUAGCUGGGUAUUAUAGGUGGUUUGUAGAAAGCUUUUCAUUGAUAGUUGCUCUUUUGACUAAGUUAACUCAGAAGAAGGUCAAUUUUUCUUAGUUGAUUGCUUGUGAAGGGAGUUUUGAGAUGUUAAACGAUAAGUUAACUUUAGCUCCAAUUUUGACUUUGCCGAAAGGUAACAAUGGGUUCUUGGUUUAUUAUGAUGCAUCUCGAGUAAGUCUUGGUUGUGUUCUGAUGCAGCGCAGGAAUAUGAUUGCCUAUACUUUUAGAAAGUUAAAAGUGUACGAGAAAAACUAUUCUACACAUAAUUUAGAGCUGUGAUAGUUGUGUUUUGUCUGAAAAUAUGGUGGUAUUAUUUGUAUGGUGUGGACAUGGAUAUCAUUUCUAAUCAUAAGAGUCUAUAGUAUAUGUUCACUCAGAAGGAGCAUAAUCUCAGGUAAAGGAGAUGGCUUGACCUUCUCAAAAACUAUGAUAUGGGUCUUCACUAUCACCCAGGUAAGGCUAAUGUGAUUGUUGAUGCUCUUAGUAGGUUAUCCAUGGGAAGUUUGGCUCGUGUAGAGGAAGGAAAGUCGAAAUUGGUGAAAGAUAUUAACCACUUAGCUAAUCUUAGAGUUCAACUCUUGGACUCAAAGAAUGGUGGUGUGAUGGUGUAAGAAGUUUUUAGAUAAUCUCUUAGUACAGAGAUUAAGAAGAAGUAAGUUCUAGAUUCUAUCUUGAUGAAAAUCAAGACUGAAGUUGGUAGGCAAAAGGUAGUGGUGUUUGAGGUUUGUGGUGAUUAUACUUUAUGGUACAAAGGAAAUUUGUGUGUUCCUGAUGUUGAUAAAUUGAGACACAGGAUUUUGGUUGAGGUGCUUGAAUCAUGCUAUGUUGUUCAUCCCGAAUUGACUAAGAUGUAUUAUGAUCUCAAGGAUAUCUAUUGGUGAAAUGGAAUAAAGAGGGAUGUGGUUGAUUUUACGGCUAAGUGCAUGGUAUGUCAACAGGUUAAGAUUGAGCACAUGAGGCUAGGAGGGUUUAUCAAGAAUGAUUUGCCCGAAUGGAUAUGGGAAGUGAUGAAUAUGGACAUUAUUACUAGUCUUCCUCGGUCUCGAAAUUAAUAUGAUUUGAUUUGGGUCAUUGUAGAUAGGAUGACAAAGUUUUUCCACUUUUUCCCAGUGUGGACUAUCUUCUCGGUGGAGGAUUAUGCAAAGUUGUAUCUUAAGGAGAUUGUAAAUCUUCAUGGGGUGCCUAUUUGAUUAUAUCUUAUCAUGGCACAUAGUUUACAUUUCACUUAUGGUGAUCUUUUCAGAAAGGGUUGGGGACUAAGGUGAGUCUGAGUGCUGCUUUUCUCCCUCCGAUGAAAGGGAAAAUAGAGAGAACUAUUCAGACCUUAAAGGAUAUGCUUCGGGUUUGUGUGAUUAAUUAUAGUGGCAGUUGGGUUGAGCAUCUAUCUUUGGUGGAGUUUUCUUACAACAAUAGCUGUCAUCCUAGUAUUGGUAUGGCCUCUUUUGAGGCAUUGUAUGGUAGAAGGGUUAGGUCUCUUAUUGGUUGGUUUGAGAUUGAAGAGGUGGAUAUAUUUGGUCCUGGCUUAGUUUACCAGGCUAUGGAGAAGGUAGAUGAGAUUCAAGAUAGGCUUAAGGCUGCCCAAAGUCACCAAAACUCCUAUGCGGAUGUUAUGCAUAGAGACUUGGAGUUUGAGGUUGCGGAUAAGGUUUUCCUCAAGGUAUAUCCCUUACAGGGAGUGAUGAGAUUUGGCAAGAAGGGAAAGUUAGUUCCUUGUAUAUUAGUCCUUAUGAGGUUUUGCGGAGAGUUGGUAGUGUUUCUUAUGAGCUAAAGUUGCCUUCUAUCUUGAGCUUGGUUCAUCUGGUCUUUUAUGUUUCCAUAUUGAGGAAGUGCAUUGGUGAUCCUUCUUUGGUUUUGCCUUUGGAAGGAUUGGAUAUCAUAGAUUCUCUAUCUAAUAAGGAAAUCUCAGUUGAGAUCUUGGAUAGGUAGGUUCAUCGAUUGCGGAUCAAGGAUGUAGCCUCGAUUAAGGUUCUAUGGCAGAACCACAAGAUGGAAAAGGCUAUGUGGGAAGUAAAGGAGGACAUAACGUCCAAAUAUCCGCAUUAGUUUUUUUAGUUCAUGGGAUUCGUACGGAAGGUAUGUGUCUUCAACACAUCUUUAUUUUCUGAAUUUGUUAAAGGAAAGACUAAUAUCUUUGCCUUUUUAUUUUCAAACUUUGUUAAAGAUUGAGAAUAUAUUUGAUAAUACAAAUGACUCGUGCGUGUGGUAAACCCUACCUUGCCCAUCAUUCGGUGAGAAAUGUUCCUAGUGGGAGAGACUAAACACCCUAGGUUUUGACCCUUAGAAAAUUUCCUGAAAUUCUGGUCUCUAGACCCGAUACGACUCAUGGGUAUGAGUCGUAUGAUGGGGUAUGGAUGGUAUGGAACUAUCGUAUACUAACUAGUGUUGGUUGGUAGGAUGGAUUUUGUUUAUUGGAAUGGAUACGACAUAGGGGUAUGAGUCAUAUUAGUACGUAUGGAUCGUUUGGCUCCUUAACUUAAUCUUAGACUUGGUUACUUAGGUUGGAUCUGAGUAUAAGUUUCUCAUCGUGAGUAUUAAGCCAGGGUACGAGUCAUACCAUGGACUCGUAUGGUGGACAGUGUCUAAAUUUUCUUUGGGUUUAAUAUGUCAAGGGUACGAAUGAAGGGUAUGGAUCAUAUGGUUUGGAUAUAACUUGGUUGGAUGAGUCGUAUACGGGAUAGUAUGGGAUCCAAAGGUUGAGGCCAGGAUAGGAGUGGAGAGUACCAAUCAUAUUGGAGGGUAUUACUCGUGAGGGUUAGUCGUACCCUUGUGACGGGAUUUUAUGCAACUUAAGUGGAGGUAUUCUGGACAUUUCCCCACUUAUCCUAACAAGUUCCCAUGAUUUCUAACCUACUUGGGAGGAUAUUUACCGUAUUAUUCCAUUCAUUAACACUUAGAAACUUUUCUAAAACACUCUAUAAUUCUCUCAAAAGCUUUUGGAAAGGGGAAGCUAGGGUUUCAACUAGAAGAUUAAUUUGGGCUUGUCUUGGUGAUUUCCUUCCAUCAUCAUCUUGGUUUAAGGCAUUUCUCUUCCCUCUUUGUUAAUUCUAGCUAAAGACAUGGUUUUUAUUAAUACUUUCAUGAUUUCAUUGAUUGGAUGAUUUUGGUUUUCAAAAAUGAAUUGGGGUUUUUGAUAUUAAAUGGUUGGUUAUCGUUUUUCAUGGUGUUAAUAUGCUUUAAUAUGCAUUAAUGGUGCUUUUGGAUAAUUGGAUUACGUGGGAAUGGUUAAAUGGUAAUUGGAAAUGGUUUUGGUUAUAGUAUGCCCCCAUUGUGUUUGACAAAAUACCUAUAAUAAUGUUUUCAUUGCAUUAAGUACUUUAAUGGAACUCUUGAUUGUUUUAAAACAUAGUAAAGGGAUUAUGCAUGGUUUAAAUGGCUUUAAAAGGAAAAUGGAUAAAUGGUUAUGCUUGAGGGGUACAGAGAAUCCCCCAAGUGAUUUAAUAUUGUAAAUGGAAGGGCACUUGAAAGUUCCCUUAAACCUAUAUAUGGUUGGCUAUGGAUACUACUUGCAAUAUGGUCAGUAUGAUGAUACCACCACUCAAUGGCCCUGGUUAAUAAAUGGUAAAUGGAUUGGUUGGUUGCUUGGUAAUGAUUUUAAUUGGGCAAUAGUGGAGGGAUGUGGAGCAAAGUCGUAGAAGGUGGAGGUCCCGGGAGGACCAAAACUAGAAACUCAUAUUUGCCGAUGUGAGGUUGGUUUUGGUGACCAUGUUCAUGAUGUCACACUUUAUAUUUGGAGGAUGUACUAGUCAUCCCAGGAUUUCUUCCAUGGUUAUGCGGCUACACACACUGGUGCCCUUUCAGCAAGGGGAGCUAAACCGAUAUAGCCCGUGGAUGGUUUAGGACGACAAAGCUACACAGCCCAGGUAAAGGUUUUAAAUGCAUGCUAAACCUGGUCUCUUUUCUCGGCAUGGUUACAUACAUAUGUGUAUGUGUGUGUGUGUAUGGUUGUAUGCAGAUAGAUUAUUUUACUUGGCUUUAUAAGUGGCAUUAUUUUAUCUUUAUCUUGAGUUCAUGCUAGCGAUUACUCGCUAAGACAUCUACUGGCGGUUGUAUACCCAUGCUAUGUAGGAACUGGCUGUUCUACUCCUCCUACAUAGUGAUUGACUCGGGGAUCAUCAUUUGGACUGAAGUGGUGAGCUUCAUAAUUUUGGAAGGCUCUAUUUCAUGUUAUAUAUAUUUCUAGACACUUUGAUUUUAUUUUGGAUAUUGGUUUUGGCAAUGGUUGGGGCAUGUCCCAACUGGAUUUUACUUCUCUUUUGGUUAGAGGCUUUGUGGUAUUGCUAUGGGUUGGAAUAGGCGAGAUUAGUAUUGGUGUCGGCCUUUGCAUUGGAAUAAGCUAUUGGCUGACAUCAUUGGACAUAAUUUAUCACUGUUCCAUUGUAUUUUAUUUUCGAAAUAAUUAUAUUAUGUUUUGGAACAUCUUUGGUUAUGGCCUGGUUUAUGUCCCUUGUUUCGAUAUUGGUUUGGUAUGGUUGGAUUGUUUGUAUGGGAUGGUUAAACUCGGUUGAAUCGGUGACGGCUGUGAUCCUAUCCCAGAGUCUUCAAGUAAACUGUUAUACUAUCUUGUUAUAUGCUCAAAAUACAACCAACUCAUGGUAGGUGGCUGAAAGUUAGGUUGGGUAAUGGGGCUGGUCUCCAAUCUCGAUUGGACUUGGGGCGCCCAUUACGACAGGGCCCCAGGUUGGGUCGGGUAAGUUAUUGGACCACGGAGGCAGAAUAACCCAUGAUUUGGACGUGUCAUGGAGGAUGGAACUAUAUAAUAUAGGGUGUAUCACUAGGUUUGUCUUUGCUAUACACACAUUGUCAGAGAGGUUAGUCUCCACAAUAACCUCCGUGCUACAGAGAUUGUGUUUUCCUGCAUUAUUAUAAAAAGUUCAAUAAGGAAUUUUGGUCUUUUCCCCCUCGUCGAAAUCACCUAAUUAAUGAAUUAAAACCCAAAAGGGGCAUUAUUUGCCCCAUUCCCCAUCCGUUAACAACGUGAAACCAUUCCCUAUUAGAAAGAAAAUAUUUCAAGUUUCUUCGCAAGAAUUCAACCAUUCAAGGUCCCAAUUCGAAGUCUUCUUCAAGAAUUCAAGCAACUCAGGUAUGUAGGAUAUUCAUCAAUGGGUUCCUUCCAUCCAUUGAGCCCCAAGAAUCCUUUGUAUUUCAUAUAUAAACCCCUUUCCCUCUUUUUAUGAUAUUCCAGUCUUAAAUAUGAAUUUAGUCAAUAUUAUCUUAAUAGUUUUCAAUUCAAGCCAUGCCAACAAGUUUUCCCAUGAGUAUUUCAUUAUUACAUGCUUUAAAUUUCAAUCACUCAUAUCAUGUUCAGUUGAUACCAUGUUAACUUACCAAUUCAUGAAUUAAACAAUGUAAGCAUGUUGUCCACAUAAGUUUAAGAUAUUUCCAUACUCAUAAUUAUAGAUUCCAUCAGUUAAGGAUAUAUUAUAUGCUUUGGGUCUUUGAAUCAUGAAUUUCCUAACAAUUUUGUUAAAUGAUGUCAUUGUUUUUAAAGUAAUAUUCAGUGCUGGAGGGUUAUGAACACCAGAAACCUAUCUAUUUAUACAUGUUUACAUUUUCAAGCAACAAGUCAGUCAGAUCAUGGUUUUAUUAUCAUACUCAGUCAUGACCAUGUUUAGCAUUAUCAGUUGUGAUGUCCAGUUGACUUUAAUUAGUGCAAGUGUCCGAUCAAUUGGAAGUAGGAUUUAACACCGAUCGAACCCAAGGGUGGGGGUUCACCUUCCGGUUGAGAAUGUGACCUUUAGUAGUAGUCCCUAAGUUCCAUAACUACGUAGCCAGCGUAGGUUUUUAGAGGUAUUACUGCUAGUUGAGGGUUGACACUCUCUUAGGGGUACCUGCCGUAGAGGGUGACACCCUUGUCCUUUGGGACGCCAAAUUAGUGGAUCCAUACAACCAGUGUCGAUACCCGUGGCAUGGUACAGACACUAUUCCAAUUAGGGUUAUAGGUUGGACCCCAAUUAGCUCAGAUUGGGGUAUAUCCAUCACAUGAUAACUCCCAUAGUUUCAGUUCAGUAUCCAAAUUUUAUCAACUUAGGUUUCCAUGAGCAAGUAUUUAGUUUAUCAUAUAUUCAGUCACCCAGUUUUAUAGACUAUUUCAGUACAUGUUUUACUUGGUCUUGAAUUUGUUUAACAUGUUCAUGCAUUCAUGUUCAGUAUCCAUAUGCAUUUUAUUUAGUCCCUAUCUCACGUACUAGUACAUUUAAAGUACUAACCACAUACUCUCUUUUGCUCUAUAUUGAUUUCAUAAUAAAGGUUCGAACGCUUAGUUCCCUGGUCGCCCUUAGUCAGCUCUGUACCAUUCAACAAUAGUUGUAGUGAGUCUUUUUUCAUCAAGGAUAGGUAUUUACAGCUAUUUUUAGUAUUUCUUUCAUUUUAGUCAGUCGGAGUUAGUUGGGGGAUUGUCCCAUCAACUCCUCAUGUCUUAGAGGCUUUCAGAUAUUCAGAUAUUUAGAAUUGUUUUUCAUUUGUAUUAAUGGUUCAGAAACGUUGGGUAUUGUUUAAGUAUUCCACCUUAAUAGUGUUUUUAUCAGUUUAACUUCUACAUAUGAUUCUUGUAUUAUUAUUUUAUUUAGUGCUGACAGCAAGUACCAAAUUAUAGGUUAGCUUGGCAUCACUUGUGGCCUUAAACACCUUGUUAUGACUAGGGUAGCCUCAGGUCAUGAAAAAACCCUAUAUCAGAGCCGAUGAUUUUAAAGUGGCCUAGGCUGUCAGAAAGCCGCAUUGAGUAGUGUUUUUCUCAUAGAUGUGAAACUCGCCACACUUAUGGGCAAGAGGCUACGAGACGUUUUAGGAAAGUUUCUCAUUUUUCAGUAUUCAUGUCGUGCGAAAGAGAAUGAGCUCUAUUGAACUCCUUUUCUAACUCGUCCUUUAUCCAUUUAUAGAAAAUGCCUCCCAGAAGAAAUAGUGAAAGAAGAAGUAGAGAUCAGCCCACACCACCACCUAUUCAGGAAGAUCCCCUGAACGAGCAUAUUUUCCACGUUGAAUUCAGGACUAAUUUAAUUAUUUUGGCCUAGACUGUGGCUACUCAAAAUAACCAACAGGCUAUUUCCACAGCCAAUCCAGUAAUGAAUACAACUAUAGCUAGGAUCUGAUACUUGACUCGGAUGAAUCCUCCAUUAUUUUUUGGAUCCAAGGAUGGGGAGAAUCCACAAGAGUUUCAUGAUGGUGAGCGAAAAGUGAUGAACAUUAUGGGUGUCACUUCUAGUGAGAGUAAUAAUGUAUCUACUUACCAGUUGUAAGGAAUAGCUCACACUUGGUUCAAGCAGUGGAAGAAGGACAGAGGUGUUGAGGCAGGACCUAUAAAGUGGGAGGAGUUUGCCACUACUUUCUUAGACAGGUUCUUCCCACUAAAGAUGAUGGAGGAUAAGGUGUAGGAUUUUAUAAAUCUGAAGCAAGGUAUCAUGCAUGUGGAGGAAUACUCACUCAAAUUUCUCAGUUCGCGAUCCAUGCUCCGACUGUGGUGGCUGAUUCUAGUGCCAGAAUGAGUAAGUUUGUGUCUGGUGUGUCAGAUAGUGUAGUAAAGAAGAGUAAAAUAGUAAUGUUUAUUAAGGAGAUGGACUUUUCUAGGUUGAUGGUUCAUGCUCAAAAUAUUGAUGAGGAGAAUAUCAAAGAGAGGGAAAGAAAGAAUAAGAGGGCCAAAACCAGUAGCUUCAACUUCUCACAAUAAAGGUUUAAUGGUGGGAAUUGUUCUCAGUUCUUCCAGAAAUUUUCAUCUCCAACCCCAUCUUCAGUCUAUGUGCCACUGCCUAAGUUUAGGCAGGACAGUCGAGAUAGAGCGCCAAGCUCUAAGUCUAAUGUUAGAGUAAAUAGUGGUUGCACUAAUUUGAUUUGUAAAAAAUAUGCUAAGAACCACAAGGGUGAGUUCAUGGUAGGCAGUGAUGUGUCUUUUGGAUGUGGCAGGCUAGGCCACAAGAUUAGGGAUUUCUCAAGGGUUGUCUAGAAGUGAAAGGAUUUUCAUCGUCCAACUUUUAAACAACUCCAACAAGUCACUUGACUCAGUAGGGAACCACCUCUAGUGCCACCAGUGGACAGCAUCAGAAUCGACUUUAUUCUCUCCAGCCUCUACAUGAUCAAAAGAGUUCUCCUGAUGUAGUUAUAAGUACAUUAAAAGUCUUCCAUCUUCAUAUUUAUGCAUUGUUAGACCCUGGAUCUUCACUUUCCUUUGUAACUCCUUAUAUAGAUAUAGACUUCACUAUCAGUCCCGACAUAUUAGAAGAUUCUUUCUUAGUGUCUACCCUAGUGGGUAGUUCUAUUGUAUCCAGACGGGUAUACAGAAAUUACCCGAUCAUAGUGUCAUAGAAAGUUACUUCAGUUGACCUUGUGGAGUUAGAGAUGACUGACUUUGAUGUCAUUCUCUGUACGGAUUGGAUCCACUCGUACUUCGCUUUAGUUGAUUGUAGAAAUAGAAUUGUCCAGUUCCAAUUUCUAUCAUAACCUGAAUAGGGCCUAGACGUAAUAGGCAUCCAAGUCUUACCAGGAUCGGGGACCACCCCCUAACCCAACCCAACCACCUAUUAUAGCCUCAGAUGAGCUGAAUUUCAAACAUAACAAGAUAGCAUUAUUGUUCACAUCAAGACUCUAGGAUAGGAUCACGACCGUGACCGACCCAGUCGAGUCUAACCGUACCAAACCCAAUCAUCCAUAUCAUACCAAACAAAAGAGAAUAUCAAAACAUAAUAUAAUAAUCAAUUUUAAAAUAUAAUACAAUGGAACAGUGAGAAAUUAUGUCCGAUGAUGCCAGCCUCCCAGCUUAUUCCAAUGCCAAGGCCGACACCAAUACCAAUCUCGCCUAUACCAACCCCCAGAAGUACCAUAAAGCCUCUAUCCAAAAGAUUACAAAUAUCCGAUUGGGACAUGCCCCCAACCAUGGACAAAACUAAUAUCCAAAACAAAAGAAAAAUGUCUAAGAAUGUACAUAUCAUGAAAUGGAGCCUUUUGCAAAUAUGAAAGCUCACCACUUCAAUCCAAAUAUUGUCCUCGACUCAAUCACUAUGUAGAAGGAGUUUUACGGUCAGUUCCUGCAUAGCGUGGGUAUACAUCCUCCAGUAGACGGGUUAACGUGUGACCACUAGCAUGUAUCUCAGGAUAAGGAUAAAGUAAUGCCAUUUAAACAACCAAGUAAAACCAUCUAUUAUGCAUACAACCAUACAUAUAUAUAAGUACCGGGAAAGGGAAUCCUUGUUUAACAUACAUUUAAAACCUUUACCUGGGUUGUGUAACUUUAUCGUUUAACCAUACCCAUGGGCCGUAUAGGUUUAGCUCACCCUGCUGAAUAAGUCCCAGUACGUGUAGCCGCAUGACCAAGAAAUAUCCCAUGGGAUGAAUAGUGCAUCCCUCCAAUAUAAAAUGUGAUACUCGCAUAUGGCCAUCAAGGACCGCUCAUAUCGGAAAAUAUAAGUUUCCAGUUUUGGUUUCCCUGAAACCUCUACCUUCCAUGGCUUAGUUACAUAUCCAGCCAUUAAUGCCAAAAUUAAAACCAUAUCCAAAAAAAUCCAAUUACCAUUUAUUAACCAAGGACAUUUAUGAUAUCGUCUUACCAACCAUACUUGUAAGAUUUACCCAUAGCCAAACUAUUGAGGUUAAGGGGACUCUCAAGUGCCCUUUUGGUUUACCAUAUUAACCUUUUGGGAGACUUUCAUGUACUCCAAAAGAAAAACCAAUAAGUAUUUAACCCUUGUAAACCAUUUAAACCAUUUAUAGUUUCAUGCAUAAGCUGGAAACAACAAAAGUUCCAUUUAAAGAAGUCAAUCCAAUGAACAUAUCUUUAUAAAUAUUUUAUCGAACACCUUGGGGGUAUAAUAUAACUAAAACCAAUUCCAAAGACCAUUAAACCAUUAACAUGCAAAACAAUUGCCUAAAACCACCAAUAAUGCAUAUGAAAGCACAAUUAAAUCAUAGAAAACCAUUACGAAGCCAUUAUAAGCAAAACCCCCCAACUAAUAGUUGAAAACCAUAAAACUUGCAACAUUAAAACCAUGAAAACAUCUAUAAAAUUCAUGCCUUUUUAGAAGUAAGAAGUAGGGAAGAGACACAUGCCUUAAUCCAAGAAAGAUGAUAGAAGAAAAUUGCCAAAGCAAGCCCCAAAGCAAUCCCCAAGUUGAAACCCUAGUUCUCUUGCCCCAAAAGCUCUUGAGAGAAUUGUUGAAUGUUUAAGAAUAGUCUUCUAUGUGUUAAUGAAUAGAAUAAUAGGGUACAUAACCUCCUAAGUGUAUUAGAAGUUGUAGGUCAUAAUUAGGGUAAGUAGGAAAAUAUCCAGAACACUACCUACUUAAGUCCCUUAAAAACCCGUCAUAGGGAUACGAUUGACUCUCUUAUGAGUCGUACCUUUCCAUACAAUUGGUUCCUACCAGCUGUACCCAAGACUUAACCUUAGAUCAUACAUUUUCCAAUAUAUGACUCAUCCAACUAAGUUGUAACCUCAGCAUACGAUUUGUACCUAUGAUCCGUAUCCCUGGCAGAAUGAAUUACUAAAAGGAUCAAACACUACCCACCAUAUGAGUCCCUGAUACGACUCGUAUCCAAGCCUUACGACUCAUGCAUGCCCUUAAGACGUGACCAUCCCAGUGAUCAAAACCUCUCCAUCAAUUAACACCAGUUAGCUUACGACAGGACCAUACCACUUGUACCCCAGUAAACGGCUCGUACCCUGGUGUCAUAUUGGGUCCGGAGAAUGUCUUUUAAGGAAAAAAUUUCUAAGGACAAACCCUAGGAUGUAACAUUCUCCCCUACUAGGAACAUUCAUCCACGAACGAUGCACAAGGCAGAGGUAACUACACACAGAGUCAUUUGCAUAAUCAAACAUCCUUUUAACAAAGUUUGAAAACGAAGAGGCAAAGAUAUUAAUCUUUCCUUUAAAAACCUCAGAACUAACCAAGGGAGAGACGAGAGGACGGGUCUUGUGUUUUUGUUUUUUCCUUCUUUCACAUUGCUCUGAACUCGCAUUCACAAUGAAGUAAAAUGUUACACUUUUGGAACUAACCAACUUUACCUUCAGUACGACUUCAUGAAAGUAUUUAACUAUUAAAUAAACUCAUGAUGAUGCCCAAACUUGACCCAUCAAAUUUCUUAACACUUUUACAAAAUCUGGUUUUAUUAAUGGAAAACUUACAAAAAUAGUCUAGGUUUCAACAAAAUGAGAGUAUUUCUAGCCAAACUUUCAAAAUUAUAAUUUAUAGCAUUUCUUUCUCUCUUUUUUUAUUUUUUUUUUACUCUGGUUUAUCUCUAGCCUCUACCUUUUUUUCUUUUCCAUUUUUUUACUUCUUUUUUCUUUUUUAUUUUUUCCUUCUUAAUUUCCUCUUAUUUGUUUUUUUCUAUUUCUCAUUUUUUUCAUUUUUUUUGUAUUUUAUAUUUUUUUUUGUAUUUCUGAAAAAUAUGAUUAUGUCGAGUACAAGUCAUGAAAAAUGACAAAUACAUCAUAAUCGAUCACUGUAUUUAUAUUCACUAUCAUAUUUUUCUUUUAUCUCUUUUUUUUCUUUUACUUUUUUAUUAUUAUCUUUUUGAUUUUAUUGUAUUUUUUCUCAUUUUUUUAUUUUUCAUAUUUUCCUCCUUUUUUUAUUUUUUCUUCUUAUUUUCAUUUUUCUCCUUCUUUUUUCUCUAUUUUAAUUUUUUUAUUUUUUUAUUUUUUUCCUUUUCUUUUCUUUAUUCUAUCAAUAGCUUGUAUUUCUCUUUCUUUUUUUUCUUUUUUAAAUUUUUUAUUUCUCCUUUUUAUAAUUUAAUUUUAUUUAUAUUCUUAAAAAAUAUGGCUAUGUGAAGCAUAAGUUAUGAUUGAUAACGAAAAUACCACAAUGGCUUAUUGUAUUUAUAUUCGCACUAUCGUUUAUAUAUUUAUAUUUAUUAAUAUAAUUGUAUUUGUAUUUUAUAAUUCAUGCUUGUAUUUGUAUUUAUAUUUUAUAGUUGACUUUUUGAUUUUAUAAUUCUACUUGUAUUUUAUUUGUAUUUUAUAGUUUACAUCAUCAUUUAUAUUUUUGUAUUCGUUGAUACAAUUGUACUUGUAUUUUAUAGUUCACGCUUGUGUUUAUAUUUGUAUUUUAUAGUUUGAACUUAUAUUUGUAUUUUACAGUUCUCACCUUUAUUUAUAUUUUAUACAAUUUAUUUUCAUUGAUACGAAUUGCAUUUUAUUAAUACAAAUUGAACAAAUAUAAAUAAUAAAUUAUAAAAAUAAAAUUUUAAACUAUACAAAUACAACGUUUACAUUUGUAUCAAAUGAUACAUGUUUAUACAACUUGAACCAUACACAUAAAAAUGACACUUGUUCUAUAGAAAUGCAAAUGAUAAACUUGACAUACAAAUACUAACGAUACAUUUGCGUUGAAUGACAAAUAUAAAUAAUAAAUUUAUUUAAAAUAUAUAUAUAUGAUACAAAUAAAUAUAAAAUUUUAAAAAUAUAUAAAAUAUAAAAUAAUACAACAACAAUAAAAAAAAAUUGAGAGAAAAGAAAAAGAAAUUACCAAAAAAAGGAAAAAAAUGAAACUGAGAAAAAAGAAAAUAAAAAAAGAUUGCACAGAAAAAGGUAAUAAAGACAAAAAAUAUAUUAAAAAUGAAAAAAAAAAAGAAAAUAAAAAAAUAGAAAAAAGGAAAAGGAAAAAAGAAACAAAAAAAGGAAAAAUGGAAUAAAAAAAUGAAAAAGAAAAAAAAAAAGGAAAGGGUAAAAACACAAAAAAAGGAAAAAAUUUAUUGGCGUUUUUAAUUUUAUUAAAUUUGCAUUUUGGCAGGUUGGGUUAUAACCCCAUGACUCAUAGUUUAGCCCUUCUUGCUUAGCCCAUCUUUACCCAAAUGUAUUUGGGCAGGAUUGGGUAUUAGCCCAAUUAUUUGUUCAGUCCAUCUAGCCCAUCUUGACUCUCCCAACUUCGCCCAACCUGCUCAUUUGCCACCCCUAAUUUAACAUGGGAAAAGGACAAAAAUAACACCUAAAAUUGAAAUAAUUCCACAAAACUAGCACUUAAAUUUAAAAAUCUGGUAAAUAGUCACUAAGGGAUGGGCCCUUUCUGUUUUGGGUAUAUCCAUGUAAUCACUAAAUUUUGGAAAUAUUGUAAAAAAAAAAGAGUGAAGAAAAUUAAAACUUACAUGAAUGUUUCAAUCUUUGCAUUGGAAUUUAGAAAAUCGAGAGGCUUAUUGAUCUUCUUGAAAUGAACAUAUGAUCUUCUUGAAUAUGAAAGAUUGAAUUUUUGAGAAAUAAUUUAAUUGUAAAAUGGAUCAAAUAAAUUUUCGUGGACAUUUUGGACUGAUUCUAAACUUAGAUCAAAAUGAAAUUAUUUUCUUUCUUUUCUUGAUGGACUCAAGAAGAAGAAGACGACAAGUAUUAAUUUUACUAUAUAUAUAGUGGAUUGUAAUCAUAUGUAACGUGAGCAAUUAUAAAACAGGCCAUGCUUAUUAUCAUUUGUAUUAAAAUAAUUGUAUUGAAUGAAAGUGAUGUAUAGGCCAAGGGUACUGGAACAGAUCUUUGUCCAAUUUAAAGUGCACACUUUUUUUAGACAAUAGAUGAUGUGUUUCACCUCCAUAGUUUGAUACAGUAAAUCAAAAGAGUAACUAUAUAAUACAAUUGUUAAAUAUAUAUAUUUAUAUAUAAUAAUGAUACAGUUUUUAUAUAUAAACAUAUUCUAUAUAAUAAUUACAGCAUUUUUAUACACAUUUUAUAUAAUUUUUAACUACAAUUAUUAUUUAGAUACAUAUUUUAUACGACUCUAUAUAUUUUCUACAUGCAUUCUAAAAAUAUAUCAAUCUAGUAUAAGAAAGUAUCAAUUGAAUAUAUGAACUCUGCAAGUGUAUCAAUGUAGUAUAGAAGUGUAUUAAUGUGAUAUAAAAGAGUAUCAAUUGGGUAUAGGGACUGCAUGUGCUUGCAUAGAAUUUCCUUUCUCUUUUUUAAAAAGUGUAUCAAUAGAAUGUAAAAGUGUAUCAAUCUGACAUAAAGGUGUAUCAAUUAAUGAGAGAGACUGCAUGUGUCCAAUUGGCCAAAUGACUAAAAAAAGGAAUUAAUUUAACCGACUGACUACCGCAUAUCUAUUUUCACAUGUGGGCCAUUUUUUUUUUAAAUGGUCAUGCCAUGUCCUUUUCCCAUUUUACAUUAUAUUAAGGCUUUCAGAGGUUGCUAAAUAUUGAAACAUGCCUCUGGUUGUUGUCAUUUUGUUGAUGCAUUUUCCUUUUAUCUUUUCUUCCUCUGUCUGUCCUUGUCCUAACCACCUUUACUAGAUGCUUACCUGUUAACACUGUCAUAUAAUAGGGCCUAAUUGAUAGAGAAUCAGACUAAUUCAGUAGCUAUAAUCUUUCCGCUAUUUCAAGAUUCAUUUCACGUCUCUUUCACUGUUAAACCAAAAAAAAAACAAAAAAACUUCACUCUUUCACUGUUUAUCUUACAACGUUAAUAAUUCAUAUUCUUUUGACAAAGUAAACAAUGGAGUUAUGAUUUCCGAACUACGAAGUCCGCAAAGAAACAAAAUGUUCGAGCACUUGGUCAGAUUUUCUUUUUUGCUUCUAAUUAUAUUUCAAGUAUUCACGCCUGAAUCUCACUUUUAUUUUUUGUUUGAGAAAAUAGCUAAAAUGACGUAUCGAAGCAAUUUUUGAACUCAAAUAAUAUUUUUGAACUUGUUUUGAAUUCGACUAAUUUUUAUUCAGGUUUUUACACCUAUAAAUAAUCCAUAUACAGAAUUUAAAUGAGAUUUUUGAUAGAGAGUGAGUUACGAGUCGCCGCGAAGACAAGAGUUAUUGAGUUUUACAUUUUCUUCUCUGUUAUAAAUGGGCCUAGACCUGCAUUGGCAAAACAGCCCAAAAGCAUAUUAAGUGGCUAUGUGUGAGAUUCGGGUUGAUAAAUAGCUCUUGUGGGAGAAAAAUAGAUUAUGAAAAUUAUGAUAAUUGCUUACGCAAAGUUUUGCUUUUCAUCCCUAAUUCUUUCUAGUCCUCUCAUCCUCUUCUACUACUAUCCUCUUUUUCAUUUUGUAAUUUCUCCUUUCCAUGUUAAUCAAAGUUUAUUAGUUCCGUUCACUCUGCGUAUUGAUUGUCGAAUUGAGAAUUUGGUAUCGUUACAUUGGUGCUUUCAUUACUCGUACUCCCAUGUCAACAGUGGUACUAAAUCGAUUCAGUGGUGGUAAUCCAGAGGAUUGGAUUUUUCAGGCUGAGCGAUACUUUACUUACCUUGGCUUCCCCGAGAAGGAUUGGCUACCCCUUCCCUCUACCUUAAUGCUGAGGCACUUGACUGGUUCCGUUGGAUGUAUCGCAACAAAUAAUUUUUGAAUUGGAAGCAUUUUAAGGAGAAGUUAGCUUUGCAUUUUCAAGCACAAACCUCUCCAAAAUCUCAUGUGGUACACUCACAGCUUACCAAUAUUCUAACCUUGCUACCGAAGGUACAUGACAACCUAGACAAAAUCCAUAUCACAACUCCUGGUACACCCAAUCCCAUGAGCUUGUCACCAAUAAUAAUUCAAAAGAUUCCAGUAGAAAAUGCACAUUCAGGUCAUGUGGACCAGGUAUUCGAUGAAAAUUCUCACCAGAUUACAGACCCAGUCCAUGAUUUUGGCACUGCUUUUGACUUGGUACCGAAUAUUUCCGACAGGUUGCAAAUGCUUUUGCAGGUAACUCAGGUGAUAAGCAAAUCUACUUUGUGUGGUGAACCUGAAAUUGAUUGUUCUGAUGAUACACACUCUAGGAAAUCAACUAGCCAGGAAGAUGAAUGUCUCAACACUAAUACAAGUAUAGUGUUCGAUGAAAGUCUCCAGCAAAAUGAGUUUCACCUAUAAUGCCAAUUUGCACAUCUAAAGAUUAUUAUGACUGAAAAAUCUAUUUUCCAUAUGAAUUUGCAUUGUAAUUUUAAUAGACCAACAAGAGUUGAGAGAGAGGCCUCUCUUAUCCCUCAGGUCGAUGAUGCUUUGAUUGCCGAGUUUUUUAUUCCAUAACCACCUAAUCAUCUUUGGCUGAUUUUGGUGAACUAGAAAAAUAUGAGAUCAAGAAAGAUGGCUUACCCACUUUCUAUUGGUUCGAUACCGGACAACAUUUAUCCCUUCUCAUUUCUUUUGUGUUUCGGCAUAUCAAAUGUGGUGGUCUUUUGUAUGUGCUGGAAUUUAGAAAUAUUGGUGAUUAUCUUACUUCUUUUGAUGAUCAAGAUUGUGGGUGUCAUGAUUGUCGGUAGUGAUGCGACCUUACUUUCUAGAGACGCGCAUAGGAAAUACAUGUGGUGCUUUGAGUUUGUUGUCAUAAAACUAUCUUCUCUCAGUGGACACACUUGUCUCAGGUACUUCCUUUUAUUUUUUGUCAUGCAAAAGGCAUGCUACAUACUUGGAUGUGCUAACAUAUGUGGCACAAUUGCAUAUUCUUACCCUAUGACUAAAGUGUGCGAUCCUGGGCAGUUUUGGAGUGUAAAUUUAUACAUUAGUAGAGUAAUUGAGCAUCAAACUAUUGGUGUAGAUAUUCGUGAUAUCUCUUCAAGCCUUGCUAGCCUUAUCUCGAGUGUAGAUAUUCUUUUUGAGACUUUUUUUAUUUACUCUGAUUGUGAGGUGUCAAAAGACUGUUGAAUGUCGCAUGAUUUUUGAUAAAAUACCACAAAGAUGUGCUUUUUGUUGGAGUAAAUGGAUCAAAGCUUAUGAACGGCCAGAAAAUUGUGAUGGAGUUUUCAAUUGCUAUGGUAAUUCAUUCAUCGGUAUGAAUUUCAAUUGUGGUAGUUCUGCUAUGUUCUAUAUCAUCCAGUUUCUUCUGAUGGUUUCUCUUAAUAACCAGACCUCUUCGUCAACUCUCAACCCUUGUGCUAUUAUACUCCUUGCGACCGACAAUAUGAUUACAUGGCUAGCUACAAAAGUAAUUAAGAUCUUAUUCCUUGGUCAUGCUAAGGAGGAGAUGGAAUGCUAUCUUGCAAAAGAUAUUGCCUUCAGUGAGCACGUGCUAGUUGGUUCUUCGUAUAGCAUGUGGGAAAUUAUCUUGUUCUAUGGCACUUGGUUUCAGUUAUUUGGUUUGGUUGCUGCAAGGAGGCACUUCAAGAGUUUUUCUGGUACCCACACAACUGAUUUGGGAAGACGUAAGCAACAAACAAAACAGUUGGCCGACAAAUACUGUGAUCAGGUUGUACCUUGCAAAACAUUGAUUAGUUGUAUGCAAGGGUUCGACUUACUUUUCUGCUGCUCCUUUGAGUUGUUAUGCAUAAGUUUGGUGUGUAAAAUGUUUUCUAGUUUAUCAACAUCAAGUCACGUCCCUAGUAGUAUCCAUAAGCACAUUCGUGACGGUGUAUAUGACCGGGAAGUAUGGGAACACAACCAUAUAGAGUCAAAUGUUUUGCCUUCUCACGUGGGAAUAUUACAACGUGUCCAUCCGGAGAGUGUCAAGAUUAUGCAAAUAGCUUCAACUCUUUAUGAGGCUAUUAGAGUCGAUGUUGUAGUUGUAGCAGGCUACAAGUCUCUUUUUAUGGGAUUGUUUUGUAGGACAUUGCUAAGAAGAUUUUUUGGACUCCAAAGUAGUGCUGCAAGGUCUAUCAAGAAUUCCAGACAUGUGAGGAAGUUCUUCGUUUAUGUUCAGCCAUGGGCUUUUGACAAAGUUGUUUUGGGUGCAAGGCUUUACAACUCGAACCUUGAGGACAAGGUUCUUAUUGGGGCCGGAGGUAUUGUUAUGAAUGAGCCUAGAUCCGUUUUGGCAAAACAGCCCAAGAGCAUAUUAAGUUGUUCUGUGUGGGAUCCGGGUUGAUAAAUAGCACUUGUGGGAGCAAAAUAGGUUAUGAAAAUUGUGAUAACUGCUUAGGCAAAAGCUUUGUUUCUCAUCCCUAAUUCUCUCUAGUCCUCUCAUCCCCUUCUACUACUGUUCCUCUUUUUCAUUUUGUAAUUUCUCCUUUCCAUAUUAAUCAAAGUUUAUUAGUUCCGUUCACUCUAUGUAUUGAUUGUCGAGUUGAGAAUUUGGUAUCAUUACAUCCUCCAUUUUACAUUUUAUUCUCCAUGCUACUCAUUUUUGUGUUCCUUUAGAUGAUUUUCUGUAUUUCCUCCAUGUCUAAGUAAAUUUCUCGUUAUAGGUUGUGGUUCUUCCGUAGACGUUGUUGUUUGGAUUUGAUUUCAAUUAAUUAGGUUGCCAUAUUGGUUUGUUUGUUCAAUCGUGCUCUUAAUUAUUUCACUGCUUAGCUAAUAGUGAAAAGUACGCAUUUAUAUUUGAGCAGAACAAUAAAAAUGUAGAUAUAGGGAAAGGGUUAAGCAGAGUGAGGCGCGUUCGUCAUUCGGCUCGACAUAGCUAAUCGCCUUGCUUGGUUGCGACAUAUGCAGGUAAAUGUAACUGCAUUCUUAUUAAUUUUAAAAUGAAAUAUAUAAAAAAUUAUGUUUAACUUAAAUAGGAACGCAACUUCUCGGCAGAAACUGCGAGUAAAAUUAACGCUAUCAAUUGAUAAACUAGAUAAAUUUUUUAGUUAACUCAAUUGAAGGAUACAUGAUUGUUGGAUAACCCGUAAUCGUAAUUAAAUCGAUUUCAUCCCGUCGUAAACAUUAAUAUGCUCUUUCCUGGUUAAAGUUCAUUAUUGUGUUCUUUUUAUUUUAGUUAGUUUAUAAUUUUAAAUUUGGAUUCUGUUUCUGGUUUAAAUAAUUUGCAUUAAUACUAAUGGUUUAAAAUAGUUGACUACUAAUUACAAGUCCUUAUGAAUUAAUGUUACUUCUAGUUACUUUAUUACUUGUUGAUCAUAUAUUCUUGGGUGUGUUUUUGGACACAACAGAUAUUCCUAAUUUAUAGUUAUUUCAAUUGGCCACAUAUUCUUUCUUAAACAUAAUAUUCAGUCAAACAAUGCCACAUAAAUUCAAGUCAUUUCAAUUGGUAACUCAUUUUUUCUAGUGCUAGAUCUAAUCGUUGCUAGGCUGAUAAUUCAGCCUCUAUCUCUGUGAGCUAGAAUCUUAGCUACUAUGGCUAGCUAGGCUGUGCUUUGAUAUAGGAAUUCACAUGAUAUUCAUGUUAAUCCCAUCACCCAAGAUGCAGACUUCAUGCACAUACUUUCACGAAUUAAUUUGACAAAUGCAUGUCCAAUCAACUCUAGCUCUCACGAGUCUAUCCAAUUUCAUAAAAUUCCAUAAAUUUGAAAAACUCACAAAUUUUUAGUUUCAAAUUUCUCGUAAGUCACAUGCUAAACUCAACUACCUUUUUCAUAUUAUGAAAAUAUAAGAAGUAUCUCUCGCAACUUGCAACCCAAAAGGCGUAGUGGAACAAAUAUCUCAUUAAUGCAUGGCAAGUGAACUAGGAUUUUGUUGCAAACUCCUCCACUUCAAUUUGUUUUUCUUAAUUAGUUUAACCUAACCGAAUUUAAAAAUGUACGAAAAAUAUUUAAAUAUUAUGCUCCUAAACUAAUUAAAGAUAUGUAUAAUAUAUCAAAAUAUUCUUGAUCUUAAUCAUGUCAUGUGAGUGUUGAAAUUAAAGAUUUACAAUUUAAAGAAAGGAUAAAAUUUUUAAAUACACUAAAAAAGAAUGUAAGAUAAUGUUAGACCUUCACAGCUAAAGAUCGCCAUUAAAAUGUAUAGUGAAAACCCUAGUAACGAUGAAGACGAAGAGAGAGAAAAAUAUCUCAUUUUAUUCAACUAAAUUCUCUAGAAGACCUUUGACCAAAAUCUCUCUAUGCAUAUAUAUACACAUUAAAAUGGGCAAAAUAUAAAACACAAUGUUAAAAUGAUAAUGGGCUCCAGUUGUAACAUCUAUUGGGCCUAAGUGAUUGGGCCUUCGUUAACACCACCCCUCAAGAUGGAGGGUGUGUGCACUCCCAGCUUGGAAAGAAGAUGAUGAUGAAGUGGACCACUCAACGACUUGGUCAGGAUGUCAGCAAACUGAUUAGCAGAAACAAUAUGAUGAAGAGAAAUAAGUUGAGCAGCAAGGCAAUCACGAACAUAGUGGCAGUUAAUCUCAAUACGUUUUGUAUGUUCAAGAAAAAUAAGAUUCUUGGCAAUGUGCAACGUAGCCUGUCUAUCACAAAAAAUAGGAACAAGAGUAGAUAUAGUGAGACCCAUGUCAGCAAAUAAAUGUAGCAACCAAACAAUCUCAGCAACCACUUUGCGUAAGGCUCGAUACUCAGCCUCAGCAGAAAAUAGAGCAAUAGUGAGUUGCUUCUUGCUCUUCCAAGAUAUAGGACAACCACAAAAACCACAUAAUAACCAGUGACUGACUUCCGUGAAAGAGGGCAUGCAGCCCAAUCAGAAUCAGAGAAGGCAAGAUAAUAAGAAACAAGGAGAAGAAGGGAAAAAAUGCCCUAAUCUAGAGCAUUCAGUAGAUAUCGGAGAAUAUGUAUACCAACUUUCAUAUGAGAAACACAAGGGGAUUGUAAGAAUUGACUCAGGUGUUGGACAAUAAAAGAGAUAUUUGGUCUAGUAUGUGCAAAAAAUUCAGUUUACCAACCAGACUCCUGAACACAGAAGGGUCAGAUAAAAGAUCACCCAUAUCAGGAACCAGUUUCACAGACGAUUCCAAGGGAAAAGCAACAGGGGUGAAAUCUGAACAAUGAAACUCAUCCAGCAAAUCAGAUGUAUAUUUAUGCUGAUGGAUAAGAUAACCAUCAUCAUGAGAUAUGAUUUUCAGCCUCAGAAAAUAAUGAACCAGUCCUAAGUCUUUGAUCUUGAAUUGAUGAUCAAGAAAAGACUUUAGAUUAUCCAUUUCCUCAAUAUUUGACCCAGCCAACAAAAUAUCAUCCAUAUAAACCAGUAACACAACCAAAGAAUCACCAGAAGACUUAGUGAAGAGGGAAUAAUCAUUUUUACUAGCAAUGUAGCCUCUAGAUAACAAGGCUUCAGACAGUUUAGAGAACCACUUUCUGGAUGCUUGUUUGAGGAUAUAUAAAGACUUCCUGAGCUUACAAACCAAAGGACUUGCACAAGAAGAAGAAGUAGAAACAUCCAGGCCAGGGGGAAUUUUCAUAUAGACAUCUUUAUGAAAAUUACCAUGAAGAAAAAAAUUGUUGACAUCUAGCUGGAAAACAGUCCAGUGAUAUUUAGCAGCAAGAGCCAAGAGACAUUUAACAGUGGUGAGUUUGACCAUAGGAGAGAAAGUCCCAUGAUAAUCAAUGCCUUUUUUUUGAGUAUCACUCCUGAUGACAAGCCUAGAUUAUACCUCUUAAUAGUAUAAUCAGACCUUUAUUUGAUUAUGUAAACCCAUUUAUAUGGGAUAGCUUUCUUAUUAGAAGGAAGGUGAAUAAUAUCCCAUGUAUGGUUAUCCUCAAGGGCUUUAAAUUCCUGUAGCAUGGCCUCCUGCCAAGCAGGACUAAAGGUAGCCUACUAGUAAAAAAAAGGCUCAUUCAAAUGUAUGUCACCACUAGAAACCUUGGAAUUGACCUUUAUAGGAGUAGAAGAAGGCAGGACAGAAGAGCAUACAUAGUUAUGAAGAUGAGCAAGAGGAUGAGAAGACCUAGAACUCCUCCUAAGAGGAGGGUGAGUGGAAAAAGAUAAGGGAGGAAUAAAAGAAGAAGGAGGGACAAUGGGAUUUGGACCAAUAGGAAAGGGAUCAAUAAAAUCAGGAGAUGGAGGAAAAUGAGAAGAUGAAGAGGAAAAAGUAGUGUAAGGAAAAAUAUGUUCAUGAAAUUGAAAAUCUCUUGAGUAAAAAAUGGAAAAAUUUGGGAGAUUAAGGAGCUUAUAAUCUUUCUUACCAAAAAGGUAUCCUAAGAAUAUGCCAGGAAUGGAUCUAGGCUUAAGUUUAUCUCUAAGAGGAGCAGGAGUAGUUUUAUAAGCAAGACAACCAAAACUUUUCAGAUGGUUAUAGGAUGGAGGAUAUCCAUGAAGUUUUUCAUAAGAAGAGAAAUUAUUUAAAGGAAUAGUAGGGGACAUAAUAAUCAAAUAGGUAGCAGUUAAGACACACUCACCCUAGUAUUUCAAAGGGAGUUUAGAUUGAAACAGUAAAGCUCUGGAUACUUCUAAAUAGUGUUUGUGUUUCCUUUCCACAACCCCAUUUUAGUGAGGAGUGUGUGGAAUGGUGGUCUAGUGGAGAAUAUGAUCAGAGAAGAUUUUUUGCAAAUCAGUGUUAUUGCGUAACUCAAAAGCAUUAUCAGACCUAAAAACUUGAACUGUAUGAUGAUACUGAACUUGCACCAUAGAAACAAAAGUUUUUAUAACAGAUAAGGCACUAGAUUUAAAGGAUUGUAGAUAUGUCCAGGUGAGUCUGGUAAAAUCAUCCACCAAAGUAAGAAAGUAUCUAAAACCAUUGUUGGUUUGAGUGUGAUAAGGACCCCAAACAUCAAUAUGAACAAACCGAAAAGGAAUGGAAGAAUGGGAAAAACUAGGGCUGAAGGGAAAUCUAUGUUGUUUAGCCUUAGGACAGAUAUCACAUACAAAAUUCUAUUUUGGAAAUAUUUUCCCAUUCAAGAAUUCAAUAGAUUUCACUUUGUGAUAAGAAAUAUGACCAAGUCUUUGAUGCCAAAACAAAUCAAUUUUAUUUAUACUAUGUGAAAAAGAAGUAUAACCUAUAUAAUUAGUAAAACUACAAUAUACAGAAGGAAAUAUGGAAUCAGUUGGAGCAAAGUAGUACAAUCCAUGUGCAGCUUUACCAAUUUCCAACUGCUUCUUCAGAGAAGGGCCUUGUAAAAUACAGUUAGGCUUGGUGAAAAUAGCAAUGCACUCAAGUUGAGAGAUAAGUUUGUGUAUGGAAAUGAGAUUAAAUUAAAAAGAUGGAACCAAGAGUACAUUAUGCAAAGUCAUGUCUAAUAUGAGCAUUAAUGUCCCAGUUGACACAACUUUGACUUUAUACUUAUUGGGGAGGCUUAUCAAAAGAGGUAAAUCUAAAGGAAUGAUAUAUGAAGAAGAUUUUUGUGGGGAGUCAUGUGAUUGGUAGCCCCAGAGUCAAGUAUCCAAGGAUUUAAGCCUAGAUUUGACACUACACUAGUAUGAAAAGCAAUAGAUAGUAUAAUAGGGUGAUUGAAUACACUUGCAAAGUGAGCAAAUAUCUCAGUAAGAUGGUAAUGAGACCCAUGAUAUGGAGAAGAAGAUUUUCUAUCAGUAGUACUAUGAAGAUGUUGAAGAUGUUGAUAAUGUUGAAACUGAUCCUUGGUCAAUCUAUAAUCAUCAUCAUUAAUCUUUAUAGAAGAGACAGAAAGUUCAGCUGGGGAGCUGUCAGUUUGUGCAAAAGAGACAGACCUUCUGCAUUUUGUGAAUUUGAAAUCAACAAGAUAUCCAUGGAGUUUAUAACAUUUAUCAAUAAGAUGUCCAGAUUUCUUGCAGUAUUUACAAAAAAUAGGUGAAGAAGUUGAGGGACCAAAAUUAGGAGAGAAAGGUUUUCUGCCAUCCGGUUGAUUUCUUCUAGCAUUAUAUGGCAGAGGUGAGGAAGGAUUUUUUUGGAAUCAAAAUGAAAUCUUUGGCUAUAGCCUCUUCCUACAGAAGUGUUCUGAGACACUAAAUUAAAAAUAGCUGAAUCAUUUGAAAACCCAGGAAUUGGAGGAGAUGUCUCAUUUUGCUUCUCAAGAUGUUGCAGCAUAGCAUAAGAACUACUAAGGGAAGGUAGUGUGAAUAUCAUCAGGAGAUUACUCUUACAUAGAGAGUACUCAUCAUUUAAGCCACUAAGAAAUUGAAAUAAUUUUUGUUGUUCCAUAAACUUCCCUAAAGCUCCACAAGUACACACAGGACCAACAUAAGGAGUACUCAACUCAUCCCAAAGAGUACGUAGUCGAGUGAAAUAGAAUGAGAUAUUAGAAGAUCCUUGCACAUUAGAGUUAAUCUCUUUCUGGAUCUGAAUAUAUUUAGUUCCAUUAGACUGACCAAACCAUUCAUUUAUAUCACACCAAAUAUCUUUGGCAAAAUCAAAACACAUAACACUAGUUACCAAUUCAGCAGACAGAGAAUUUGUAAUCUAUGCUAUAACUGUGUUGUUGCACCUCUCAUAAAAUAGAAAGUAAGUAGAAUUGGGUGCAUGUUUGGACACAAGACCAAUAACUAACCCCAAUUUGUUCUUAGCAGAUAGAGUCGUCAUCAUAUUCUUACGCUAAACAACAAAGCCAGUACUGUCAAAUAAGGGAGUCACCAAAUAUGUACCAGGAUCGUCAGAGGGAUACAAAUAUAAUGGAUGAGUCGGGGAGACAAAGAAUUUGUCAAAUCCAGAAGGAGUAGCCACAUUUUCCAUAGACAUAUUCACACUAACCAACUUAGGACAAGAUAAAAUCAAUUUUCAGUGGAUCUAUCAACACUCAAUCUAGGUGAAAAACAAAAGUUUACAACAAAUCUAGAAGCACAUAAGCUAGAUUUCAGAGAAUUACAUCAAAAACUAAGAACACACAAGCUAGAUUUUCAUCAAAAUACCAAAAAUAGAACCAAAAUAUCAACAAAUAUUAGUAUAUGACUAACAACUGCAACAAAAGAAAUGAUUACCGCCCUUCUUCGCAUCCUGAAGAAGUAAGGCCUUGUAUAAUGUGAUUUCAACGAGAAAAACCCCAAAUCAAGAACAAAACUCAAACUUCCAUAUGAACCAAACACCCUUGAGGGUACUAUCGAAAGAUAGAGGAACUUGUAAGGAUCAUAGAUUUGUGCUCUGAUACCAUGUUAAACCAUCACAACUCAAGAUCGCCAUUAAAAUAUAUAGUAAAAAUCCUAGUAACGAUGAAGACAAAGAGAGAGAAAAAUAUCUCAUUUUAUUCAACUGAAUUCUCUGGAAGGCCUUUGAACAAAAUCUCUCUAUGUAUAUAUAUACACACAUUAAAAUGGGCAAAAUAUAAAAUACAAUGUUAAAAUGAUAAUGGGCUCUGGUUGUAACGUCUAGUGGGCCUAAGUGAUUGGGCCUUCGUUAACAGAUGAAUAAAUAAAUUGUUGGAGUAUUUAUUGGUGUUUCAAAAUAAGUGAAUCGUUGAAUUGGUUUUCAAAAUCACCCUUAUGAUUUGACAAGCAAAAGAGACCGCAACUUUUUCUUUUUUUAGGUAAAAGAGACUUCAAAGGUAAACAUGGAAAUUUAUGUCUUUGAUGUUUUUUUCUUAACCUGUGUGCCAAAAUCUAACAAUUCAUUUAUUUCGAAAUUGAGGGAGCAGUUUUUAAUGAUGUCCCCCCCUACCUGUGAAGGUAGUCACCCUUAGCAUGAGAAAGAUAGUUUUCAAAAUUAAUUAGGAAGUACCUAUCCACUCAUGAACGAGAAAAUUUCUAUAAUUCAUUGACGAGUAACUAUCCAGUCCACUCAUAUGUCACUUGUUCUUUAUAGGAUAUAAGAUUCAUUUACCUUUUUGUAUCCCUCGUUUAUAAUCUCUCGUCAGUGAAACCUAUAUAUAUAGUAGUUGAGAGGUGAUUGAUAAGAAAAAGUUCCUCAUUUCCAAUACAGAGGAAAUUGUAGCUGCAGCACUCUGGAAGAUCAAACUUGCCUAUCAUGGUAAUACCAUGUGAUUUUGAGAGUCAUCCACACACACACAUGCACAUAGGUAUUUAAUCACACACAUAAAACAACAUAUGUUAUCUAUUCUGUUUCGAAUAGUUUUGUAAGUGAAUAGAGAUUAUAAGUAUUUUAAUGAUUGUGAUCUAUAUAUAUCCUAUAUAUACGCUGCAUGAUGUACAUAUAUACGAAUCUGCUUGAUAAUAUGAAGGUAGUUUUUCUACACUUUUUAUGUUUUGGCGAAAAUGCUUGAGCUGAUUAAAUAUCUUAUAUAUACUUUAGUUUUCUCGCUUUUGCACCAUUUAAAGUGCAAAACAAAACAUAUAUCCCGCUUUUAUAUAUUUUGAUGUUCACUCACUAGCCAUUAUAUGUAUAGUUUAAAACCAUUUAAUGCAUAACUGUACGUAAUAUAUUCACAUAUUCUCUAGAAUACUUGCUGUAUUAAGGGUAUGUUUUGUAGUGAUGAAAAUGUUUUUCUAAACAAUAUUUUUUAAAAAAAUAAGUGGUUCCUUAUGUUUACUUUUAAUGUAUUUGUUAAGUUAGUAGAAAAUAUUGUUACAAAGCAGUUAUAUAAAUUCUAGGCAUACACAACAAGGGGUAGAAAUUGAUCUCAGUACCAAACACACCCCAUUUUUCUUCAAAGUACAAUCCCGUUGCAAGUACAAUUUUGUCCGAGUUCAUUGAGUCCGUAUUAUGUCGAACAUAGGAGAAAUUACUGGUUAGGGUCGACUUUACCCCAUAAAACACACCACGUCGGAUAUCAAGUACCUUAAGAUGUUGAUUUUUUUUUUUCUUGGUUUUACUUUUAAAGAGAAAAACCUGGUUUCUUCUUUUUUUUUUUACAUAAACUAAUGAAUUGAAAUCUUACCUCCUGAUUUAGAGUGGACAAGUACUAAGGGAGGUGAUAUCAGAUGUAUCAGUUGAAAUUAACAAAAUUGAAAAAGACUAUGAAAACAUUUGCACAAUUGAUGAAGUUACGCAAGCAGAAUGUGAAUGUUGUGGUCUUCGAGAGGAUUGCACACAAGAUUACAUAGAAAGAAUCAAGGAUUCUUUUUCAGGAAAAUGGGUAUGCGGCCUUUGUUCUGAGGCUGUAAAAGAUGGACUAAAACGGGGAUCACCAGUAGCAAUUGAAGAAGCUGUGAGUUCACAUACUAAGUUCUGCCAAGAGUUCAAUAGUUCAACAAGACUCAACCCAAAGCUAUCUUUCACUAUGUCAAUGAGAAACAUUGCAAGGAGAAGCCAUGAAAACAAGGAGAAGAAUCAAUAUCCUACAAUGGCCAAGAUUUCUAGAAGUUCUAGUUGUGUUCCAACAAUUGACUUUACAAUGUAACGAUCUUGAACUUGUUUAAGAAAAUGCGUAGAAGAAUUCAUAGUUCUAGACUUAGAUAAAUUUUGGCAAGAAAAUGACAUGGUUAUUUUCUUUGCUCUUGUUUUAAUUAUUAAAUGUUAUAAUACCAUGUUCAAAUUGAAUAUAUGAUUUUCUUAGAACCAAA
rnacentral:lncRNA from 1 species